rnacentral:rRNA from 1 species
UACGGAGGAUGCGAGCGUUAUCCGGAUUUAUUGGGUUUAAAGGGUGCGUGGGCGGCCUUGUAAGUCAGCGGUGAAAUUUUGCAGCUUAACUGUAAAAGUGCCGUUGAUACUGUGAGGCUAGGAUUUGGUUGUAGUGUGCGGAAUGUGUGGUGUAGCGGUGAAAUGCUUAGAUAUCACACAGAACACCGAUUGCGAAGGCAGCACACUAAGUCAUUAUUGACGCUGAGGCACGAAAGUGUGGGGAUCAAGCAGGAUUA